ensembl:lincRNA
CCCCCUCAUAGUUUUCACUGCUUUGUCUUGGAUUCACCCAGCAUCAUCCGCACGCAUAUUCCACUUUCCUCAAACAUGUCAUAGUUUAAGCAGGUUUACUAAAGAUCUGAGAGGUCACAGAAGCAGCCACAUCACACACAAAUUACUGAUGCCCUAGUUUCAUCUCCCUCUUCCUCAUUUAACACAGGAGCAGUGUAAAAACCUGCAUCUCCUGGGGAUGGACAAGCCAACCCAGCCAGGGAAGUGAAGGGGCCUCUGCAGCCAUCUUAUUGUUUUUCUCUCCACUAAUGAAAGAAAAAUAACACAGGAAUCAUCACACGUCUUUGUCCACCUCUGCAAUAGUCCCAGCAAAAUUUCACAGAAUCCCAUUAGAGGCUCCACUAGAGGACACUUUCUUCAGCCCCAGGUUAGUCUCCAGCCU